GAUGAAGAACGUAGCGAAAUGCGAUAAGUAAUGUGAAUUGCAGAAUUCAGUGAAUCAUCGAAUCUUUGAACGCACAUUGCGCCCGCCAGUAUUCUGGCGGGCAUGCCUGUUCGAGCGUCAUUACAACCCUCAGGCCCCCGGGCCUGUCGUUGGGGAUCGGCGGAAGCCCCCUGUGGGCACACGCCGUCCCUCAAAUACAGUGGCGGUCCCGCCGCAGCUUCCAUUGCGUAGUAGCUAACACCUCGCAACUGGAGAGCGGCGCGGCCAUGCCGUAAAACACCCAACUUCUGAAUGUUGACCUCGAAUCAGGUAGGAAUACCCGCUGAACUUAAGCAUAUCAAUAAGCGGAGGA
rnacentral:misc_RNA from 1 species